rnacentral:lncRNA from 1 species
CAACAGAUUCAGAAAGAAUGAGACACCUUCUGACUGUCAUCGUUGCCAUCAGCAAGGAGCAGAACACCUGCUAAAGGAUUUGGACUUCAGGGAUAUUUUUGAUAUCAACCUGCAAAAUGGCCACUGCUUGGAGGUAACCUGGCCUUUCAUCAGUGCCAGCUCUUCGCGUUAACCCAGUACAGCACGAACGGUGAACCUAAGAAGACGCUGCGGACACUGGCAAUAGUAAAAGUCCUGUAACCACACGAGCAUCGCACCUUCUGUUGCACUACAGC